rnacentral:rRNA from 1 species
GACGAACGCUGGCGGCGUGCUUAACACAUGCAAGUCGAACGGAAAGGCCCUGCUUUUGUGGGGUGCUCGAGUGGCGAACGGGUGAGUAACACGUGAGUAACCUGCCCUUGACUUUGGGAUAACUUCAGGAAACUGGGGCUAAUACCGGAUAGGAGCUCCUGCUGCAUGGUGGGGGUUGGAAAGUUUCGGCGGUUGGGGAUGGACUCGCGGCUUAUCAGCUUGUUGGUGGGGUAGUGGCUUACCAAGGCUUUGACGGGUAGCCGGCCUGAGAGGGUGACCGGCCACAUUGGGACUGAGAUACGGCCCAGAGUCCUACGGGAGGCAGCAGGGGGGAAUAUUGCACAAUGGGCGGAAGCCUGAUGCAGCAACGCCGCGUGCGGGAUGACGGCCUUCGGGUUGUAAACCGCUUUCGCCUGUGACGAAGCGUGAGUGACGGUAAUGGGUAAAGAAGCACCGGCUAACUACGUG